ACUCUCGGCAACGGAUAUCUCGGCUCACGCAUCGAUGAAGAACGUAGCAAAAUGCGAUACUUGGUGUGAAUUGCAGAAUCCCGUGAACCAUCGAGUUUUUGAACGCAAGUUGCGCCCGAAGCCUUCUGGUCGAGGGCACGUCUGCCUGGGCGUCA
rnacentral:rRNA from 1 species